rnacentral:tRNA from 1 species
GCUAUUUUGGCAGAUAAUAUGCAUUAGAUUUAGGAUUUAAUUAUAUAGCGGAGUCUAUAGAUAGUAAAGUAAUUUUUUUUAAAGCUAAUUAUUUU